rnacentral:rRNA from 1 species
UACAGAGGGUGCAAGCGUUAAUCGGAGUUACUGGGCGUAAAGGGCGCGUAGGCGGUCUUUUAAGUUGGAUGUGAAAUCCCUGGGCUUAACCUAGGAACUGCAUCCAAGACUGGGAGACUGGAGUACUGUAGAGGGUGGUGGAAUUUCCGGUGUAGCGGUGAAAUGCGUAGAGAUCGGAAGGAACACCAGUGGCGAAGGCGGCCACCUGGACAGAUACUGACGCUGAGGCGCGAGAGCGUGGGGAGCAAACAGG